rnacentral:rRNA from 1 species
GACGAACGCUGGCGGCGUGCCUAAUACAUGCAAGUAGAACGCUGAAGGAGGAGCUUGCUUCUCUGGAUGAGUUGCGAACGGGUGAGUAACGCGUAGGUAACCUGCCUGGUAGCGGGGGAUAACUAUUGGAAACGAUAGCUAAUACCGCAUAAUAUUGACUAUUGCAUGAUAGUCAGUUGAAAGGUGCAACUGCUCCACUACCAGAUGGACCUGCGUUGUAUUAGCUAGUUGGUGGGGUAACGGCUCACCAAGGCGACGAUUCAUAGCCGAACUGAGAGGGUGGUCGGCCACACUGGGACUGAGACACGGCCAAGGCUCCUACGGGAGGCAGCAGUAGGGAAUCUUCGGGAAUGGACGGAAGUCUGACCGAGCAACGCCGGGGGAGGGAAGAAGGUUUUCGGAUCGUAAAGCUCUGGUGUAAGAGAAGAACGAGUGUGAGAGUGGAAAGCUCACACUGUGACGGUAUCGUACCAGAAAGAGACGGCUAACUACGUG